GGGUAUGAGAUGAUCAUCUGAUUCGAACACUGUCAGAUUUGUAAGCAAGCUUCUGGUAUCCCGGAGGACUGAGUGCCCAGUAAGGUGCUUGAGCAACUAUAAGAGGGAUUUUCAUUCAGAGGACCUACAGGACCUGCAUGGGAAUCCCCUGACUCACACCCAUAACACAGCCAUGCAGACAGGGUUUACUGGAGUCUUAACCCAAAGACACCCUCAGCCACGCAGUCUCCAUGCCACCA